UACAGAGGAUGCAAGCGUUAUCCGGAAUGAUUGGGCGUAAAGCGUCUGUAGGUGGCUUUUUAAGUCCGCCGUCAAAUCCCAGGGCUCAACUCUGGACAGGCGGUGGAAACUACCAAGCUGGAGUACGGUAGGGGCAGAGGGAAUUUCCGGUGGAGCGGUGAAAUGCGUAGAGAUCGGAAGAACACCGGUGGCGAAGGCAAUGUUCUGGCUCGUUUCUGACGCUCAGGUGCGAAAGCCAGGGGAGCGAACGGG
rnacentral:rRNA from 1 species